rnacentral:lncRNA from 1 species
AUGUGGGGAGUGGCUAUAAUUUUUUCGAUAAAAAAAAUCGAAUGGUAUGUUUUUUUCGUUACGGAUUUCCUGGAACAUAUCGUCGUAUUUUUCUCCGAGUUCGUAUGGAAGAUAUUCAGUCCCUCAUACUACAAGCUAACCCAGAACCUAGUAGUGGUGUCCUUUAUAUGCAAACCAGAGAACAGGGGACCAUUCCCUUGACUCCUGUUGAUGAUAGGACUCCAUGCAACGUUAUACAAAAAGCUUGGGACUUGUCCAGAUUCUUGAGUGUACCAAUGGAAAUCGUUCCAUAUUCUUGA